GUUACCCAAUGGGGUUUGUGUAGUGAGAAUCCGUCCAGUGGGAUUUAGUGGAGGCGGGCAUUCGCAAAAAUCGCUUGCCUUCAUCACCUACUAUGGAGAUUCCCGCCUCCUCUCCUAUAUACUCUAUAGAUAUAGAUGAUAAAUUAUUAAAUUAUUAGAUACUUCUGAGCAAUGACCCUUCACUACAUAAAUAUAAAUUUUUGUGCUCUGUGACUGUGUACCUAAUGAUCUCACUAGAGAGAGAGACAUCACCAUAGAGAGAAAAAAAUGGUGAGGGCUUCAGCAGCAUCAUCGUCGUCGUCGAUGAAAAGCUCAGAGCCAGAGGUCUUAGAGCGGAAGAGACUGAAGAAGCUUUCAUUCUCCAACAAUCUCUUAUCGGAGACUCCAGCCAAGACCCAUUCACCUCUCACCCCGUCCAAGGUCGUCUUGAAGCACCACGGCAAAGAUAUUCUCAGGAAAUCUCAAAGAAAGAAUCGCUUCCUCUUUUCUUUUCCUGGUUUUCUUGCUCCUAUUGCUGCUGGCGGCAAGAUUGGAGACCUCAAGGAUUUGGGAACUAGAAAUCCCAUUCUCUAUCUCCAUUUUCCCCAGGGUGAAAUGAAGCUGUUUGGGACCAUUGUCUAUCCGAAGAAUAGAUACCUAACGUUGCAGUUCUCUAGGGGUGGCAAGAAUGUUUUGUGUGAAGAUUACUUUGAUAGCAUGAUUGUGUUUUCUGAUGCGUGGUGGAUUGGAACGAAAGAAGAGAACCCAGAAGAGGCCCAACUUGAUUUUCCCAAGCAAAUGUUUGAGGGACAGGGACAACAAGUUGAGUAUGACUUUAAAGGUGGUGCAGGAGCGGCAUCUGUAAAUAAGGAAGUUGUUCACAAAAGUGGUAUUAAAUAUGUAGAAAUUGAGACCCCUGAAACUGAGCUUGAAAAUGAUCUAUCCGAUGAUAAAAACAAUUUGAAUGAUUUGAUGGAAACUGCACAAACUCGACAUUCUGAGCGAACUGCUGGGAAAACAUUCAAGUUUGCAGAAGCUUCUUCUGGAGAUGAUUCUGUUGAAAGCAUUGUGGCUGAUGUAGCUAAGGAAGAAGGAGAAGAAGAAAAGAAUGUAAAAUCUAAUACUUCUUCCGCCAUAGUUCUUGAUUUUGAAAAUGAGGGUGCUAUUGAAGGGAAUUAUUCUUCUGGAAAAAUUCAAGCUUGUGCCAUGUUGGGGACCAAGUUUAAGAAGCUGUCGGAAUCUGCUGUCUUAAGAACAUCUAAUGAACACUCUGAGUCGCACAGUAAUCACGGUUCACUCGUUCAAGCCACUAUUUCUACAUUAUUCAAUAAAGCGCAUGGUAAAAGGAAAGUAGAAGAAAAGAAUGAGCCAAGAAAGUCAAGGAAAUCUCCAUCAUCAAAAGUUUCUGAUCAGAAGGUGCAGCUUGCUAAUUCGAGAAGGAGGAUAGAUCAGGCUGGAGGACCUAGAAAGAGAGGGAAAGCAAAUGAAGGGAAAAAAGCUGGGGCAGUAACUAAGGCAAAGAUGAAAGUAUAUGAGGUAUCAGCCUGUAUAUUUUAAGACACUGGUGCUUAUGAUGCUGCAGGAUGAAUUACUGGUUGGAGAUGACGACAUAGAAGAAUUCUCAAGCUCAACACAGUCUCAGGAUACUGAUGGAAGUGAUGAAAAUUGGGCAGCUUGAGAUUAGACUUCAACUGGAGGAUGAAAAUUCUAAUCCAAACUUCAACUUUGUAAAGCAUUUGAAUCUCCGAAAUCCAAUCACUUGUGUAGGAAGACAUGAUGGGUUUUAUUCCAAAUGAAAUCUGAGUCUGCUUGCUGAUAAUUUCGGAGCUGGCAAAAUUCGAUUCUAAUGCUAUUAUUAUACAAUAUUAGAGUAUCUCCUGCACGAUGCGGUGGAAAUCGAAUUUAUAAUGCUAAACGUUUGUCACACCAUUAAUAGAUAAAUAAUAUAGAUCGUUCUCCAUGUGAUGUGGUCAAAGUAGAACUUACAAAUUAAAUGUCUCCUAUAAUAUAAAUAGAUAAGUAAUGUUUAGUUCAAUGAUCUCAGCUUUUAUUCUA